rnacentral:rRNA from 1 species
UACGUAGGGUGCGAGCGUUGCCCGGAUUUAUUGGGCGUAAAGGGCGCGUAGGCGGCCACGUAGGUCCGUUGUGAAAUCGCCCGGCUCAACUGGGCGGGGUCAGCGGAUACGGUGUGGCUCGAGCAAGCUAGGGGGCAAUGGAACUCCCGGUGUAGUGGUGGAAUGCGUAGAUAUCGGGAAGAACACCAGUGGCGAAGGCGGUUGCCUGGAGCUUUGCUGACGCUGAUGCGCGAAAGCGUGGGGAGCGAGCCGG